GAAAUAAAGGACAGUUAAUCAGAAAUUAGAUAAAAUUAAAGUCAAUAUGGCAAGAAUCUUUUGUUUGUAUGCUCAAUGCAAACAUCAUUAAUUAGGAAAAUGAAGAGCGACUCCCAAUCCAUGUUAUAUUUAGCAAAAUAUUUUGAAACAGAAGUAAGAUGAUGGCCAAUGCAGUACGUAAAAAUGGGGAUCAUCGGUUGCCAUCUACAAGCACGCAAACCAAGGAGUGAGUACAUACAUCAAAUUUCUAACAGGUCCUUGUGGAGGAUGCACUGGUGGGGGGUGUCCUUCUGGAGGAGGAACUGGUGGAGGGGGCCCUACUUGUGAAUCUGACUCUGAUUUGCUCAAUAUAUAAUCCCUUAAAUUUUCUGUCCAUUCUCCAAGAACCUUUAUGAGAACAGAUGAAUGAUAUUUUCCCUCUAGCGGACUAGAUGAUACACUGAAAGGAUGCCACUGCAGCCAAGAUAAUUCUCGAACUUGAAGGAAAAAGAAACUCAGGG
rnacentral:lncRNA from 1 species